rnacentral:rRNA from 1 species
AGAGUUUGAUCCUGGCUCAGGAUGAACGCUAGCUACAGGCUUAACACAUGCAAGUCGAGGGGCAGCAUGGUCUUAGCUUGCUAAGGCCGAUGGCGACCGGCGCACGGGUGAGUAACACGUAUCCAACCUGCCGUCUACUCUUGGACAGCCUUCUGAAAGGAAGAUUAAUACAAGAUGGCAUCAUGAGUCCGCAUGUUCACAUGAUUAAAGGUAUUCCGGUAGACGAUGGGGAUGCGUUCCAUUAGAUAGUAGGCGGGGUAACGGCCCACCUAGUCAACGAUGGAUAGGGGUUCUGAGAGGAAGGUCCCCCACAUUGGAACUGAGACACGGUCCAAACUCCUACGGGAGGCAGCAGUGAGGAAUAUUGGUCAAUGGGCGAGAGCCUGAACCAGCCAAGUAGCGUGAAGGAUGACUGCCCUAUGGGUUGUAAACUUCUUUUAUAAAGGAAUAAAGUCGGGUAUGGAUACCCGUUUGCAUGUACUUUAUGAAUAAGGAUCGGCUAACUCCGUGCCAGCAGCCGCGGUAAUACGGAGGAUCCGAGCGUUAUCCGGAUUUAUUGGGUUUAAAGGGAGCGUAGAUGGAUGUUUAAGUCAGUUGUGAAAGUUUGCGGCUCAACCGUAAAAUUGCAGUUGAUACUGGAUAUCUUGAGUGCAGUUGAGGCAGGCGGAAUUCGUGGUGUAGCGGUGAAAUGCUUAGAUAUCACGAAGAACUCCGAUUGCGAAGGCAGCCUGCUAAGCUGCAACUGACAUUGAGGCUCGAAAGUGUGGGUAUCAAACAGGAUUAGAUACCCUGGUAGUCCACACGGUAAACGAUGAAUACUCGCUGUUUGCGAUAUACGGCAAGCGGCCAAGCGAAAGCGUUAAGUAUUCCACCUGGGGAGUACGCCGGCAACGGUGAAACUCAAAGGAAUUGACGGGGGCCCGCACAAGCGGAGGAACAUGUGGUUUAAUUCGAUGAUACGCGAGGAACCUUACCCGGGCUU